AAAUUGAAGAGUUUGAUCAUGGCUCAGAUUGAACGCUGGCGGCAGGCCUAACACAUGCAAGUCGAACGGUAACAGGAAGAAGCUUGCUUCUUUGCUGACGAGUGGCGGACGGGUGAGUAAUGUCUGGGAAACUGCCUGAUGGAGGGGGAUAACUACUGGAAACGGUAGAUAAUACCGCAUAACGUCGCAAGACCAAAGAGGGGGACCUUCGGGCCUCUUGCCAUCGGAUGUGCCCAGAUGGGAUUAGCUUGUUGGUGGGGUAACGGCUCACC
rnacentral:rRNA from 1 species